AUACGGAGGUUGCGAGCGUUAAUCGGAAUUACUGGGCGUAAAGCGCGCGUAGGCGGCUAAGUAAGUCGGAUGUGAAAGCCCUGGGCUCAACCUGGGAAUUGCACUCGAUACUGCUUGGCUAGAGUAUGGUAGAGGGUAGUGGAAUUCCGGGUGUAGCGGUGAAAUGCGUAGAGAUCCGGAGGAACACCAGUGGCGAAGGCGGCUUCCUGGACCAAUACUGACGCUGAGGCGCGAAAGCGUGGGGAGCAAACAGGAUUAGAAACCCCGGUAGUCC
rnacentral:rRNA from 1 species